GCCUGGGGAGUACGGCCGCAAGGUUAAAACUCAAAUGAAUUGACGGGGGCCCGCACAAGCGGUGGAGCAUGUGGUUUAAUUCGAUGCAACGCGAAGAACCUUACCUGGUCUUGACAUCCACGGAAGUUUUCAGAGAUGAGAAUGUGCCUUCGGGAACCGUGAGACAGGUGCUGCAUGGCUGUCGUCAGCUCGUGUUGUGAAAUGUUGGGUUAAGUCCCGCAACGAGCGCAACCCUUAUCCUUUGUUGCCAGCGGUCCGGCCGGGAACUCAAAGGAGACUGCCAGUGAUAAACUGGAGGAAGGUGGGGAUGACGUCAAGUCAUCAUGGCCCUUACGACCAGGGCUACACACGUGCUACAAUGGCGCAUACAAAGAGAAGCGACCUCGCGAGAGCAAGCGGACCUCAUAAAGUGCGUCGUAGUCCGGAUUGGAGUCUGCAACUCGACUCCAUGAAGUCGGAAUCGCUAGUAAUCGUGGAUCAGAAUGCCACGGUGAAUACGUUCCCGGGCCUUGUACACACCGCCCGUCACACCAUGGGAGUGGGUUGCAAAAGAAGUAGGUAGCUUAACCUUCGGGAGGGCGCUUACCACUUUGUGAUUCAUGACUGGGGUGAAGUCGUAACAAGGUAACCGUAGGGGAACCUGCGGUUGGAUCAC
rnacentral:rRNA from 1 species